AUGAAGAACAUCCUUAACACCAUCAUUAACAUUGUAGGCAUACCAACACAGAAAGUAGUUUGUGCCAUGAAGGAGGCAUGUGGUUUUACUGAAAGAGGUGAUGUGGUAAAAGAGAUACUCUUCCACUACAGUGAGUUUAAAGGUGACCUGGAAAUCUUGCAGCCUGGAGAUAUGGGGAGUUCACAAUCAAGGAUAGAAAUGGUAAAGAAGUUGCAACAGAAGUUAGAUUAUUGCCUCAAGGAACAGUCAUUUUUGAAGAAAAUCAGCACUGAACAUUUUGAAGGAAUUGUAACCAAAGUUAUCCCAAAAGUACCCAGUAAAAACCAGAAUGACCCACUGCUGGGACGAAUCAAAAUUGAUUUUGUGAUUCCUAAAGAACUUUCUUUUGGAGAUAAAGAUACAAAAUCUAAGGUGACCCUAAUUGAAGGUGACCAUGUUAAGUUUAAUAUUUCAACAGACUGACAUGAAAAAUUAGAACGAGCAACCAAUAUAGAAGUUCUAUCAAAUACAUUUCAGUUCACUAAUGAAGCUAGAGAAAUGGGUGCAAUUGCUGCCAUGAGAGAUGGGUUUGGUUUCCUCAAGUGUGUGCAUCGGGAUGCGCACACGUUUUUCCACUUCAGUGAAAUUCUGGAUGGGAACCAACUCCAUAUUGCAGAUGAAGUAGAAUUUAUAACCAUAUCAGUGGUUCCUGAUAUGCUCUCUGCCCAAAGAAAUCAUGCUAUUAGGAUUAAGAAACUUCCCAAGGGCACAUUUUCAUUCCAUUCUCAUUCAGAAUAUCGUUUUAUGGGAACUGCAGAAAAAGAAGCCACUUUUUCCAAUCCUAAAACCACUAGACCCAAUAAAGCCAAGGAGGAAGCUGAGAAUGGCAUUAUUAUUUAUGAUGACUGCGGAGUGAAACUAUUGCUUUUCAAGCCAAGGAUGUGGAGCGAUCUACUACUCCUCAGAUGGCUGAUAAGGUUGAGUUUACUAUUAGUGACAAACAGAGGCCUGGGCAGCAGAUUGCAACUUGUAUGGGACUUUUAGGUCAUAAUUCCAACUCCAAGAGGCUCUUGGAUUAUGUGGCAACUCUAAAAGAUAACUUAGGAUUUAUUGAAACAGCCAAUCAUGAUAAGGAAAUCUUUUUCCAUUACAGUGAAUUCUCUGGUGAUAUUGAUAGCCUAGAACUGGGGGACAUGGUUGAAUACAGCUUGUCCAAAGGAAAAGGCAACAAGUCAGUGCUGAAAAAGUAAAUAAAACUCACUCAGUGAAUGGUGUUACUGAGGAAGCUGAUCCUACCACCUACUCCAGUAAAGUCAAUCGCCCUCUGAGAAGUGUUGAUCCAACAGAGACUGAGUAUCAAGGAACAAGUGAAACUGUGGAAGAGGGGGCUAUGAAAGGUGAGGUGUAUCCAUUUGGCAUAGUUGGGAUGGCCAAUAAAGGGGACUGCCUACAGAAAGGGGAGUGUUAAGUUCCAGUUGUGUGUCCUGGGCCAAAAUGCACAGACUAUGGCCUACAACAUUACACCCUUGCGUAGGGCCACAGUGAAGUGUGUAAAAGAUCAGUUUGGCUUCAUUAACUAUGAAGUAGGAGAUAGCAAGAAGCUCUCGAGGCUCAGGAUGGCAUCGAGCUACAGGUAAGAGAUGAGGUGGGGUUCUCAGUGAUCCUUAACUAGCGCACUAGCAAGUGCAGUGCCUGUAAUGUUCAGCGAGUCUGUGAGAGCCCUAAGGCUGUUGCAGCCCCUCAACCUGAUAGGUUGGUCAACUGCUUGAAAAACACCACCCUGGAUGAUGCCAGUGCUCCUCGCCUAAUGGUUCUUCACCAGCCAAGGGGACCAGAUAACUCAAUGGGAUUUGGUACAGAAAGAAAGAUCCGUCAGGCUGCUGUCACUGACACGAAGCACAUCUUUAAUCCACUAUGAUCAAGCUGGGGGGAUUCUGGUGAAGGGUUCUGAAUAUCUCCCCC